AGAGUUUGAUCCUGGCUCAGAUUGAACGCUGGCGGCAUGCCUUACACAUGCAAGUCGAACGGCAGCACGGGGGCAACCCUGGUGGCGAGUGGCGAACGGGUGAGUAAUACAUCGGAACGUGUCCUGUAGUGGGGGAUAGCCCGGCGAAAGCCGGAUUAAUACCGCAUACGCUCUACGGAGGAAAGGGGGGGAUCUUAGGACCUCCCGCUACAGGGGCGGCCGAUGGCAGAUUAGCUAGUUGGUGGGGUAAAGGCCUACCAAGGCGACGAUCUGUAGCUGGUCUGAGAGGACGACCAGCCACACUGGGACUGAGACACGGCCCCAGACUCCUACGGGAGGCAGCAGUGGGGAAUCCUGGACAAUGGGCGAAAGCCUGAUCCAGCAAUGCCGCGUGUGUCAAAAACGCCUUCUGGUGGUAAAGCACUUUUGUCCGG
rnacentral:rRNA from 1 species